UGGGGAAUUUCUGGAGAAUGGGGAGAUCCGGUGACACCCUUAACUAUGAUGUAUUGGAAUCUGUAUCUAUUGAGAGUCACUCAAGAGAGAAGAUCUUUAUUUUCCGUCACCUUAAGUAUAUAUCAGUUACUACGAGUAGUAUCUAAAUAUGUCGUUAGCUUAUCUCGAACAAUUAAACAACACUGAGAGUAAUCCCGCGUUCUGUGGUGGUUUGACGAUUAUUACUCUAUGGUAACUAGAUAACAGAGUUCCAGUGUGUAUUGUUCAACACUCCCUCUUGCAAUGGAACUUAGUGUUUUUUGUAACAAUGGAUCGUUGGCAGCAAGAAAUUGUCGAGUUACACACAUGGGAAUUAUUUCUGCUAGGGCUAUGGAUUAUGGUGUUGGCGAUACGUCGAGCCUUCGAGGGUGUCUUUUCUUCUGCUGCGAAGUCGUUGGAGAGCUUAUAUGUUCUUUCAGUGAGAUAUAGAGACAAGAACAAUUGUUCCCUCUAAAACAAAUAAUUGACACACUAGCACUGUGUUUGAUUCUGUAUCUACAGGAGCAAAGUGUCGAAAACUUUAUGGUGUCAGAGCAGGAUUUCGACCUGGAAUCUACGAUUCAUGGGAGGAUUGCAAAUCCCAUGUGAUUGGGUUCAAGGGAGCUCGAUUCUAAAGCUUCAGUGACAGGCAAUCUGCAGGGGACUAUAUGAGAGGGUAGCUAGACAGAAUUGGGUUUUGGUGAUACUGAUCGAUUCACAAAGACAAUAGUAUGUAAACAUGUCUAGCAGUUUAGUCAUAAUAUCAGCCUGCUGCUCCAAAGUGGGUAUAUAGUCAAUUGUAACAUCUCCUGCAAGACUUCUCUCGCAAAUAAAAUGGUAUUGAAUUUCUACAUGUUUA